AUUGAACGCUGGCGGCAUGCUUUACACAUGCAAGUCGAACGGUAACAGGGUGCUUGCACCGUUGACGAGUGGCGAACGGGUGAGUAAUACAUCGGAAUGUACCCAGUAAUGGGGGAUAACGCUUCGAAAGGAGUGCUAAUACCGCAUACGCCCUACGGGAGAAAGCGGGGGCUCUUCGGACCUCGCGCUAACAGAUGAGCCUAGGUCGGAUGAGCUAGUUGGUGGGGUAAUGGCCCACCAAGGCGACGAUCCGUAACUGGUCUGAGAGGAUGAUCAGUCACACUGGAACUGAGACACGGUCCAGACUCCUACGGGAGGCAGCAGUGGGGAAUAUUGGACAAUGGGCGAAAGCCUGAUCCAGCCAUGCCGCGUGUGUGAAGAAGGUCUUCGGAUUGUAAAGCACUUUAAGUCGGGAGGAAGGGCUGUAGGCUAAUACCUUGCAGUUUUGACGUUACCGACAGAAUAAGCACCGGCUAACUUCGUGCCAGCAGCCGCCGUAA
rnacentral:rRNA from 1 species